CACGUAGGGCGCAAGCGUUGUCCGGAAUUAUUGGGCGUAAAGAGCUCGUAGGCGGUCUGCCACGUCCGCUGUGAAAACCUAGGGCUUAACCCUGGGCUUGCAGUAGAUACGGGCAGACUAGAGGUAGGUAGGGGAGAAUGGAAUUCCCGGUGUAGCGGUGAAAUGCGCAGAUAUCGGGAGGAACACCGGUGGCGAAGGCGGUUCUCUGGGCCUUACCUGACGCUGAGACACGAAAGCGUGGGUAGCAAACAGG
rnacentral:rRNA from 1 species